CACAAUUUUGGAGUCCCCAUCCAAAUCCGCUUCCAAGAAGAGGAAAAAAGUAAUGGUUGAGUACAAGACUUUGGUUAUGGAAUAUGGCUCCCCCCCUCUUAAGCUUGUGGAUCCCGGGUACAUAAGGCCUCUGCCUCCAGAUGAUUCACAUUCUGGUGACCGGGUUUUUCAGGAGAACGACGUCGUUGAUGCCAGGUACAGAGACGGGUGGUGGACUGGCGUUGUAAGGAAGGUUUUAGAGCGUUCUAGGUAUAGGGUUUAUUUUGA
rnacentral:misc_RNA from 1 species